ACUCCUACGGGAGGCAGCAGUGGGGAAUAUUGCACAAUGGGCGAAAGCCUGAUGCAGCCAUGCCGCGUGUGUGAAGAAGGCCUCGGUUGUAAAGUACACUUCUAGCGAGGAGGAAAGGUUAGACGGUUAAUAACCGUCAGCUGUGACGUUACUCGCAGAAGAAGCACCGGCUAACUCCGUGCCAGCAGCCGCGGUAAUACGGAGGGUGCGAGCGUUAAUCGGAAUUACUGGCGUAAAGCGCAUGCAGGCGGCCAAGUCAGUCAGAUGUGAAAGCCCGGGCUUAACCUGGGAAUUGCAUUUGAAACUGCUUGGCUAGAGUCCUUGAGAGGGGGUAGGAAUUUCAGGUGUAGCGGUGAAAUGCGUAGAGAUCUGAAGGAAUACCAGUGGCG
rnacentral:rRNA from 1 species